rnacentral:rRNA from 1 species
AUACGUAGGGGGCUAGCGUUAUCCGGAUUUACUGGGCGUAAAGGGUGCGUAGGUGGUUUCUUAAGUCAGGAGUGAAAGGCUACGGCUCAACCGUAGUAAGCUCUUGAAACUGGGAAACUUGAGUGCAGGAGAGGAAAGUGGAAUUCCGAGUGUAGCGGUGAAAUGCGUAGAUAUUCGGAGGAACACCAGUGGCGAAGGCGGCCUACUGGGCUCUAACUGACGCUGAGGCUCGAAAGUGUGGGGAGC